rnacentral:rRNA from 1 species
UACGAAGGGGGCUAGCGUUGUUCGGAAUUACUGGGCGUAAAGCGUAUGCAGGCGGAUCGUUAAGUCGGGGGGUGAAAUCCCGAGGCUCAACCUCGGAACUGCCUUCGAUACUGGCGACCUUCGAGUCCGGGAGAGGUGAGUGGAGCUCCGAGUGUAGAGGUGAAAUUCGUAGAUAUUCGGAAGAACACCAGUGGCGAAGGCGGCUCACUGGCCCGGUACUGACGCCUGAGAUACGAAAGCGUGGGGAGCAAACAGG